GAUGAACGCUGGCGGCGUGCCUAAUACAUGCAAGUCGAGCGAACAGAUGAGGAGCUUGCUCCUUUGAUGUUAGCGGCGGACGGGUGAGUAACACGUGGGUAACCUACCUAUAAGACUGGGAUAACUUCGGGAAACCGGAGCUAAUACCGGAUAAUAUUUCGAACCGCAUGGUUCGAUAGUGAAAGAUGGCUCUGCUAUCACUUAUAGAUGGACCUGCGCCGUAUUAGCUAGUUGGUAAGGUAACGGCUUACCAAGGCAACGAUACGUAGCCGACCUGAGAGGGUGAUCGGCCACACUGGAACUGAGACACGGUCCAGACUCCUACGGGAGGCAGCAGUAGGGAAUCUUCCGCAAUGGGCGAAAGCCUGACGGAGCAACGCCGCGUGAGUGAUGAAGGUCUUCGGAUCGUAAAAC
rnacentral:rRNA from 1 species